rnacentral:rRNA from 1 species
CGGGGGGGGGCAAGCGUUGUUCGGAAUUACUGGGCGUAAAGGGCGCGCAGGCGGCGGGAAAGUCUCUCGUGAAAUCCCACGGGCUCAACCGUGGAACUGCGGGAGAUACUACUCGUCUUGAGUUCGGGAGAGGAGUGUGGAAUUCCCAGUGUAGCGGUGAAAUGCGUAGAUAUUGGGAGGAACACCGGUGGCGAAGGCGGCACUCUGGACCGAUACUGACGCUGAGGCGCGAAAGCUAGGGGAGCAAACGGGAUUAGAUACCCCGGUAGUCCUAGCUGUAAACGCUGAGCACUUGGUGUAGCGGGUAUCGACCCCUGCUGUGCCGAAGCUAACGCAUUAAGUGCUCCGCCUGGGGAGUACGGUCGCAAAGGCUG